CUGGCUCAGGAUGAACGCUAGCUACAGGCUUAACACAUGCAAGUCGAGGGGCAGCAUUGGGAUAGCUUGCUAUCCAGAUGGCGACCGGCGCACGGUGAGUAACGCGUAUCCAACCUUCCCUAUAGUAGAGAAUAGCCCGGCGAAAGUCGGAUUAAUGCUCUAUGUUGUGUUUUGAGGACAUCUGACGAACACCAAAGGUUCACCGCUAUAGGAUGGGGAUGCGUCUGAUUAGCUUGUUGGCGGGGUAACGGCCCACCAAGGCGACGAUCAGUAGGGGUUCUGAGAGGAAGGUCCCCCACAUUGGUACUGAGACACGGACCAAACUCCUACGGGAGGCAGCAGUGAGGAAUAUUGGUCAAUGGGCGAGAGCCUGAACCAGCCAAGUAGCGUGCAGGGAAUGACUGCCCUAUGGGUUGUAAACUGCUUUUAUCAGGGAAUAAAGUGCGGCACGUGUGCCGUUUUGUAUGUACCUGAUGAAUAAGGACCGGCUAAUUCCGUGCCAGCAGCCGC
rnacentral:rRNA from 1 species